rnacentral:sRNA from 1 species
AGACGAGUUAGAUUAUAGAUAGAAAUAAUAUUCAAAAGAGAAAUGAAUGAGGACUUUGCAUUUCUCCACUCACCGAUGUUAUAAUUUAGUUAACAAGGAAACUAGCAUAGAUGCACCAAUCCCCUCACUACGGCAAUAGUGAGGGGAUUU